rnacentral:rRNA from 1 species
GAGGAAUAUUGGUCAAUGGGCGCGAGCCUGAACCAGCCAAGUAGCGUGCAGGAUGACGGCCCUAUGGGUUGUAAACUGCUUUUGUAUGGGGAUAAAGUCAAUCACGUGUGAUUGUUUGCAGGUACCAUACGAAUAAGGACCGGCUAAUUCCGUGCCAGCAGCCGCGGUAAUACGGAAGGUCCGGGCGUUAUCCGGAUUUAUUGGGUUUAAAGGGAGCGUAGGCCGGAGAUUAAGUGUGUUGUGAAAUGUAGACGCUCAACGUCUGACUUGCAGCGCAUACUGGUUUUCUUGAGUACGCACAACGUUGGCGGAAUUCGUCGUGUAGCGGUGAAAUGCUUAGAUAUGACGAAGAACUCCGAUUGCGAAGGCAGCUGGCGGGAGCGCAACUGACGCUUAAGCUCGAAGGUGCGGGUAUCGAACAGGAUUAGAUACCCUGGUAGUCCGCACAGUAAACGAUGGAUGCCCGCUGUUGGUACCUGGUAUCAGCGGCUAAGCGAAAGCAUUAAGCAUCCCACCUGGGGAGUACGCCGGCAACGGUG